GGGCCCUCACCCAGUGCUUUUGCAUCAGGGUACUCCUACUAUAUCUCCUUUGUUGAUGCCUUUACAAGGUUUACUUGGCUUAAUCUUCUUAAGAAUAAAUCUCAAGCUCUUAGUGAUUUUAAGAAGUUCAAAACAAUGGUUGAACUUCAGCUUAAUCUCCCCAUCAAAGUGGUUCAAUCUGAUUGGGGUGGGGAGUUUAGGCCCUUUACUAACUAUCUUAAUGAUCUAGGUGUCAUUCACAGACUAAUCUGCCCUCACACUCAUCAUCAGAAUGGAGUGAUUGAGAGAAAACACAGGCACAUUGUGGACAUUGGUCCCACCUUGUUAAGCCAAGCUUCGUUACCCUUAACCUACUGA